UUUCCGUAGGUGAACCUGCGGAAGGAUCAUUACUGAGUUUUAAUGAAGUUGUUCUGGUCUUUCGGGGCAAGUGAACGCUUCUCUCAAUCCAUCUUACACCUGUGCACCUAUCGGGGAAGACUUGGAUCUAAGUUGGGUCACGACGGCGAUCUACAGUCUCCUCUUUAUACCAAAUAACAGUUUUAGAAAGUCUUUUUUGCUUGAUGCAAACUUAAAUAAAUACAACUUUCAGCAACGGAUCUCUUGGCUCUC
rnacentral:misc_RNA from 1 species